rnacentral:rRNA from 1 species
AUUGAACGCUGGCGGCAGGCCUAACACAUGCAAGUCGAGCGGAUGAAGGGAGCUUGCUCCUGGAUUCAGCGGCGGACGGGUGAGUAAUGCCUAGGAAUCUGCCUGGUAGUGGGGGAUAACGUCCGGAAACGGGCGCUAAUACCGCAUACAUCCUGAGGGAGAAAGUGGGGGAUCUUCGGACCUCACGCUAUCAGAUGAGCCUAGGUCGGAUUAGCUAGUUGGUGGGGUAAAGGCCUACCAAGGCGACGAUCCGUAACUGGUCUGAGAGGAUGAUCAGUCACACUGGAACUGAGACACGGUCCAGACUCCUACGGGAGGCAGCAGUGGGGAAUACUGGACAAUGGGCGAAAGCCUGAUCCAGCCAUGCCGCGUGUGUGAAGAAGGUCUUCGGAUUGUAAAGCACUUUAAGUUGGGAGGAAGGGCAGUAAGUUAAUACCUUGCUGUUUUGACGUUACCAACAGAAUAAGCACCGGCUAACUUCGUG